GACGAACGCUGUCGGCGUGCCUAAUACAUGCAAGUCGAACGCAGUGGGGACGGGUGAGUAACACGUGGGUAACCUCCCCUCAGUGGGGAUAACACUUGGAAACAGGUGCUAAAUCCGACACUGAUGGAUGGACCCGCGGUGCAUUAGCUAGUUGGUGAGGUAACGGCUCCCCAAGGCCACGAGGCAUAGCCGACCUGAGAGGGUGCUCGGCCACACUGGGACUGAGACACGGCCAAGACUCCUACGGGAGGCAGCAGGAGGGAAUCUUCGGCAAUGGGCGAAAGUCUGACCGAGCAACGCCGCGUGAGUGAAGAAGGUUUUCGGAUCGUAAAACUCUGUUGUUAGAGAAGCGGUAUCUAACCAGAAAGCCACGGCUAACUGCGUGACAGCAGCCGCGGUAAUAC
rnacentral:rRNA from 1 species